rnacentral:lncRNA from 1 species
GAAAUAAAGAAUUAGGGAUAAAAGAAUCAAAAUCUAAGUAGAACUAAAUUGAAAUAGUCCUUAAUUGCAAUAGUUCUUAAAGAUGACCUAAUUCAUUGCCUGCAAUUGUUCUACAGGCAAGGAAUCAGAUCCAGAGGGGAGACUUGGUUAAAUCGCAAAACUGGCAUUUUACAAGCUGAAAAAGAAAAAAAAAAUGCUUCACAUUGAAUAUGGUCAUUAUGCAGACUUAUUUGGAAUUUCUCCAUCUCAUUCCCCAAGAAUAGCCAAAUAAUUCAAUACAAAUGUUCCCAAGGUUUGGAUCACAUAUUCCUCAAGAGAAUUAUCCUCAAAAAAACAGAAUCCUCAUGGGAUUGUAAUACACAGUUCCUGGAAUGUUUAUUAGUUUAGGUGAGAAACUUCUGUUGCUUCUAAAUUUAUAAAUGCCUUCUAGUGUUUCCAGUACUCUUAGGCUUUAGUUAUCUUUAGUUUUAUAUUUCCACAAAUGCUGAAGAGUUCUCAUAUUCUAUUCAG